rnacentral:rRNA from 1 species
AUUGAACGCUGGCGGCAUGCCUUACACAUGCAAGUCGAACGGUAACGCGGGGCAACCUGGCGACGAGUGGCGAACGGGUGAGUAAUGCAUCGGAACGUGCCCAGAAGUGGGGGAUAGCCCGGCGAAAGCCGGAUUAAUACCGCAUGAGACCUGAGGGUGAAAGCGGGGGAUCGCAAGACCUCGCGCUUUUGGAGCGGCCGAUGUCAGAUUAGCUAGUUGGUGGGGUAAAGGCCUACCAAGGCGACGAUCUGUAGCUGGUCUGAGAGGACGACCAGCCACACUGGGGCGGAGAGACGGCCCAGACUCCUACGGGAGGCAGCAGUGGGGAAUUUUGGACAAUGGGCGCAAGCCUGAUCCAGCCAUGCCGCGUGCGGGAAGAAGGCCUUCGGGUUGUAAACCGCUUUUGUCAGGGAAGAAACGCUCUGGGCUAAUGCCCUGGGGUAAUGACGGUACCUGAAGAAUAAGCACCGGCUAACUACGUGCCAGCAGCCGCCGUAA